rnacentral:tRNA from 1 species
AGCUUUAUAGUCAAUAAUGAUAUUAGACUGCAAUUCUAAAGGAGUAAUAAUUUUACUAAGGCUU